rnacentral:rRNA from 1 species
AUGGCUCGCACUGCAGCUACUAAGCUCGUGCUGGUCGCCCUGGUGGCGGCAAUGAUCCUCGCAGCCUCCGACGCGGCCAUCAGCUGCGGCCAGGUGAGCUCUGCCUUGGCCCCCUGCGUCGCCUAUGCGAAGGGCAGCGGGACCAGCCCGUCUGGGGCCUGCUGCAGCGGCGUCAGGAAAUUGGCCGGCUUAGCGCGGAGCACCGCCGACAAGCAAGCUACAUGCAGGUGCCUCAAGAGUGUUGCCGGAGGGCUCAACCCCAACAAGGCCGCAGGCAUUCCCUCCAAGUGCGGCGUCAGCGUCCCCUACACGAUCAGCGCAUCCGUGGACUGCUCUAAGAUCCACUGA